CAGUAGCCGCGGUAAUCCGUAGGUGGCAAGCGUUGUCCGGAAUUAUUGGGCGUAAAGGGCUCGCAGGCGGUUUCUUAAGUCUGAUGUGAAAGCCCCCGGCUCAACCGGGGAGGGUCAUUGGAAACUGGGAAACUUGAGUGCAGAAGAGGAGAGUGGAAUUCCACGUGUAGCGGUGAAAUGCGUAGAGAUGUGGAGGAACACCAGUGGCGAAGGCGACUCUCUGGUCUGUAACUGACGCUGGGGUGCGAAAGCAUGGGGAGCAAACAGGAUCAGAUACCCCAGUAGUCCCUGUCUCUUAUAC
rnacentral:rRNA from 1 species